UCUGACACCACAAAUUUGACCUCUGCCAAACUGAAAUCUGACCACUGUUCUACUCCAAGUUGACUUAACUAGCAUCUGUUCCAUCGUAGUUAAUGGAAACUGUUUCCAAUGGCUCAAACCAAAAGUUUUGAAAUAACCUUUCUUUUUUUCAUAGCCCAUUAUAUGGAAUUAUGUGAGCUCUACCUUCAACUUAUGUUAAGCUAAAACCUCACACCUUUUACCACCAACGCAGCUAACACCGGGUCUGAGUCAUCCUCAUUUCUUACCUGCAAGUGCAACAUUCAAGAAUCACUGAUGAAGGGUUUGAACAGAUGAGGAUUCAUUCUUAUAGAAAUGUUUUCAUUUUAGGUCAUCUUACUUCACAGAAAGAUUCCAUGAUGUUGGAUUCUCUCUCUCUCCCCUUCUGUGUUGUACGGGCAUACAUCAUUCUUGCAAUUUGCAAUACAUAUAGCUCACAAAGUCUGAUAUUGAGCAACUGGAUGUUAAUAUUCUAUUUUAAAGCUCUGCCAUCCACCAUCCAUAAAUGUUCUUUUCCCCAUGAGAGUCUGCUCACUGACUUAACUGAACAAAUGAUAGAAAAUCAUCCAGUGUGGUAUAUUUCUCCUUGUGCAAUGAAAGGAAAAGGUUCUGUAUCCAGUAUCCCAAAGCUUAGAUGCCCCUUACUCAGAUGUCUAUCUUCCCUGGCCUCUCCAAGAAUCAUGCUCUGAAAGAAUCCUGAGCCCAGGCCAGCACUAGCUUUUCUCAUCUGCUUUUUAAA